rnacentral:rRNA from 1 species
CGAAUGAACUAGCCCUGAAAAUGGAUGGCGCUCAAGCGUGUUACUUAUACCCCUCCGCUGGGGCAAAAUUUACGCCCCAGCGAGUAGGCAGGCGUGGAGGUCCGUGACGAAGCCUUGGGGGUGACCCCGGGUCGAACGGCCUCUAGUGCAGAUCUUGGUGGUAGUAGCAAAUACUCAAAUGAGAACUUUGAGGACUGAAGUGGGGAAAGGUUCCGUGUGAACAGCAGUUGGACACGGGUCAAUCGAUCCUAAGAGAUAGGGUAAUUCCGUUUUAAUGUAGGCGCUUGCGCCUCGCCCUCGAAAGGGAAACCGGUUAAAAUUCCGGCAUCUGGAUGUGGAUUCUCCGCGGCAACGCAACUGAGAGCGGAGACGUUGGCGGGAGCCCCAAGAAGAGUUCUCUUUUCUUCUUAACAGUCUGUCACCCUGAAAUCGGUUUGUCCGGAGCUAGGGUUCAAUGGCUGGAAGAGCGCUGCACUUUUGCGGCGUUUGGUGCGCUCCCGACGACCCUUGAAAAUCCGCUUGAAGAAAUAGUUUUCACGCCAGGUCGUACUCAUAACCGC